rnacentral:rRNA from 1 species
AUGCUGGGGACGCCAUGGACCUGUACAUCGAGACCUAUAUGUCGAGGACCUGUCCGCCAUGGUGGGUGCCUCGUCUCGACUAAACGCCGUAUUCGGUGGUUUACCGAGACAAGUAGCACACCGAGACCUGUACGCCAAGGACCUGUUAGCCAUGGUGGGUUCGCUUUCAUAGGUGAGACUGGUCUCGGGCUGCAUCGUCGUGAGCACCGGUUCCGCCACGUCGUCUCCUCCGGGAAGCAAGACACCAAACCUGUGCACCAUGAUCGAAACGUCGUAGACCUCUGCAUCGGAGAGACCUGUUCAUCAUGGACUUGUCUCAGGCUACGUCAUUGUGAGCUCCGGCUCCGCCAUGUUGUCUCCUCCGGGAAGCAACGCACAUGA